CACCCACAGUCUUGAGUCUCCUCUUCUGCACUCUGGACAUGCGUUGGUAGUACCUAACUCACUAACAACCAUCAGGUCCUAAUGGCUCCAUGUCCCCCUAACCAUCGGGUCCUAAUGGCUCCAUGUCCCUCUAACCAUCGGGUCCUAAUGGCUCCAUGUCCCUCUAACCAUCGGGUCCUAAUGGCUCCAUGUCCCUCUAACCAUCGGGUCCUAAUGGCUCCAUGUCCCUCUAACCAUCGGGUCCUAAUGGCUCCAUGUCCCUCUAACCAUCAGGUCCUAAUGGCUCCAUGUCCCCCUAACCAUCGGGUCCUAAUGGCUCCAUGUCCCUCUAACCAUCGGGUCCUAAUGGCUCCAUGUCCCUCUAACCAUCGGGUCCUAAUGGCUCCAUGUCCCUCUAACCAUCAGGUCCUAAUGGCUCCAUGUCCCUCUAACCAUCGGGUCCUAAUGGCUCCAUGUCCCUCUAACCAUCGGGUCCUAAUGGCUCCAUGUCCCUCUAACCAUCAGGUCCUAUAACCAUCAGGUCCUAAUGGCUCCAUGUCCCUCUAACCAUCAGGUCCUAAUGG